AUUGAACGCUGGCGGCAUGCCUUACACAUGCAAGUCGAACGGCAGCAUGGAGAGCUUGCUCUCUGAUGGCGAGUGGCGAACGGGUGAGUAAAGCAUCGGAACGUACCGUGUAAUGGGGGAUAAUGUAGCGAAAGUUACGUUAAUACCGCAUACGACCUGAGGGUGAAAGCAGGGGAUCGCAAGACCUUGCGUUAUACGAGCGGCCGAUGUCAGAUUAGCUAGUUGGUGAGGUAAAGGCUAACCAAGGCGACGAUCUGUAGCGGGUCUGAGAGGAUGAUCCGCCACACUGGGACUGAGACACGGCCCAGACUCCUACGGGAGGCAGCAGUGGGGAAUUUUGGACAAUGGGGGCAACCCUGAUCCAGCCAUGCCGCGUGAGUGAAGAAGGCCUUCGAGUUGUAAAGCUCUUUCGGCCGGGAAGAAAUUGCACAGGCUAAUACUCUGUGUGGAUGACGGUACCGGCAUAAGAAGCACCGGCUAACUACGUGCCAGCAGCCGCGGUAA
rnacentral:rRNA from 1 species